UGGGGAAUUUUGGACAAUGGGGGCAACCCUGAUCCAGCCAUCCCGCGUGUGCGAUGAAGGCCUUCGGGUUGUAAAGCACUUUUGGCAGGGAAGAAACAGCCUGGGAUAAUACCCCGGGCGACUGACGGUACCUGCAGAAUAAGCACCGGCUAACUACGUGCCAGCAGCCGCGGUAAUACGUAGGGUGCAAGCGUUAAUCGGAAUUACUGGGCGUAAAGCGUGCGCAGGCGGUUCGGAAAGAAAGGUGUGAAAUCCCAGGGCUUAACCUUGGAACUGCACUUUUAACUACCGAGCUAGAGUACGUCAGAGGGGGGUAGAAUUCCACGUGUAGCAGUGAAAUGCGUAGAGAUGUGGAGGAAUACCGAUGGCGAAGGCAGCCCCCUGGGAUGAUACUGACGCUCAUGCACGAAAGCGUGGGGAGCAAACGGGAUUAGAUACCCUGGUAGUCCACGCCCUAAACGAUGUCAACUAGCUGUUGGGGUUUAUUAACCUUAGUAGCGCAGCUAACGCGUGAAGUUGACCGCCUGGGGAGUACGGUCGCAAGAUU
rnacentral:rRNA from 1 species